CUAGAUUCUGCUGUUACUACCAUACCUUAAUUCUUUUUUUUUUCUUUUUUUUAGAGUAAAAGCAUUUAACUGCAAAUUUAUGAAAGACCAAUGAGGAAAAUGCCAAUAAAGAGGUUGUGGAUGAAGGCCUGAGAGAUGUGGGUGCACAAUCAGGUUACCCAGCCUUAGGUAAUUGUACCUCAGUUCAGCUGUGGUAACCCUGCCUCCCAAAGGCAAAGAAAUUGCAUGCCUGGAAUAUUUGUUGAAUCUCUACUUAACUCUUGAUUGACAUGUAUGUGAGAUAAUAAACUUGAUUAGUUAAGAUCCUCCCGUGUUUGG
rnacentral:lncRNA from 1 species